rnacentral:rRNA from 1 species
AAAUCUUCAAGGUUCUACCUUGACGAAUUGUAGUUUAAAGAAGUGUUUUCUGUUAGAUGAGUANCNAAAGUUCCUUGGAAUGGGACAUCAUAGAGGGUGAGAAUCCCGUAUUUGGUUAUUCAUUCUAGCUUUGUGAUACACUUUCAAAGAGUCGGAUUGUUUGGGAAUGCAGUCCAAAAUGGGNGGUAAAUUUCAUCUAAAGCUAAAUAUUGGCGAGAGACCGAUAGCGAACAAGUACCGUGAGGGAAAGAUGAAAAGAACUUUGAAAAGAGAGUUAAACAGUACGUGAAAUUGUCAAAAGGGAAGCGUUUGACACCAGUGUUGUUUUUCCGAAAAUCAAUUACGAAUGGCUUGAUUUUGUGUUGUAUUGACCUUAUCAGCUUUCUUCACUUUUUUCGAGUCUUUCUUAAUGCACUUUUCGGUUAACAAGUCAACAUCAAUUUCUUUUGUUGUAAAAGAGUAUUCGGAAGGUGGCUUUCUUUUCGGAGAAAGUGUUUAUAGCCCUAUACUUCUACAAUCGGAGAGAUUGAGGUCUGCAGCGUAGAUCCUUCGGGGUUAGAUACAUUUGUGCUAAGUUGUAGCUUUUCAUAGACAACUUGUUGACUAUGUUUAGUCNUGCGGCUUACUCGCUUNUGCUAUUUUACCUACGCUUAGGAUGUUGA